GUGAAACCCAAUUUGGUCUCCAUGCAGCUCCAUGUAAGCUGUGAAGUGCAGAGAGACAGGUCGGUGCUGAUCUUUCUCUCUGCAAGGAAAAAAAGUGUUAGCAAUAAAAUCCCACCCCCUCUCACCUCUUUCAAGUAAAAUUUAACCCUUUCUCUGCCCUUUGAUCACUGUCUGCAGUGAUCAAAAUACAGACCACAGGAUUUCACUGUGAUGAUUUUUUUUUUCUUUUAACCCCUGAGGGUUAACUUUUUUUUAAUCCUCAGGGGUUAAAUUUUUGUUGCAUAGGUAACUCCAUGUAAAUUCAC